AUGUGGAGAACCAAUAGAGAAGGGUUAUGGCUGGUCCUGGGCGUGACAGAAGCUGCUUAAUUUAGAACCAUGAGAACAUCCCUGUGUGCGAGGGAUAAAUAUAGCUCCCGGUCUGAGAGGCAUCGGGUUCGGAGCGGAAAGAAGACGGAGGCAAUUGAGACAAAUUCUGUGGCUAGUAUGGAAAUAUUCUCUGCUGUCAGUCCAUUAACCUCAGGCACCAAAUCUACUUUCAGGGGAUGCUGAGGGACUGUCACUCAGCAGCAUGUGCUUCUGCCAGGAAGCCACGGAGAGGGGAGCACUGCUGGGGGGGGAUGUCCCUCCUCAGCUGCCUGCCCCCAUGCACUCUGUGCCUGGGAGGUGCUUCCACUGACUAGGAAGUGAAGUACUGAGGCGUUUUGCUUUUUUCUUAAAUUUACACCUCAGUGUUCUCACCGAGCACUGCAGAUUUUUAUUAUUCUCCCUUUUUGUACAUUGCUGAGAAUAAAUUAUAUCCUCCAGAGUUCUUUAUUCUUGUGUGAGGGCAGAUCCUGGGGUCUCGUUUUGCUUCUUCUGAGUAAUCUGUUGAAUUCUGUGGCUUGGAGUUAGGUCCCUGAUGGAGUAUUUGUUGCUAAGCUUCCUACUGGGAUGCUGAGAGGCAGACGAGUCGUUGUCAGCUGUGUGACAAGACACCCUGAUAUUGCGGCUUUGCUGCUCACCUGUGCCAGUCUGUAUACUCCCAUAUGUUUGCACAGUGCCUGAAGCUGUGUGGGUUUUGUAAGAAUGUUAACAGAAGUUCCUGAAAGCAAGGGAGAAGAAUGAGCAAUGAGAUAUAGAAAAAGUAAAGAAUAAUAUACAGACUGCUUUGAUGGAGACUUGUCCUUGGUAUUAAGUGGGCAUUAGAAGAAAAAGCAGUGACGCCUUGUUUUCCACUCCUUGUACUACAGGAACUCUGCCAUGAAGGAGCUGUAACCCUGACUGUGUACCUUACGGGUUUCCUGUUAUCAUUGUCUCCUGUCACCUCUAAAUGUCCUUUUCCAGGCUGUAUCAGAGCCAAUGUCACACCAGUUAAUGCCAUGUUCAUGUGCCUAGCUCUUUUUUACAGGUUUUUAUGAUCUUACCACUGUAACUGUUUCUUCUGCAUUAUAUACAUUCUUGAAAAAUACUUCAGUUCAUUUCAACAGAUGGCCAUAAGGGAUUUCAUAAAGAGAACAUGCCAGAUUAGGAAUACAUUUUAAAGAAUGACAGCCAAAAAUGAAGUAAUUUUUGUUGACUGAGUCCGAGCAAUCUAGACAUCUUGCAUAUUACACCUUGUCAUAAGGAACUAAAUGGAACAGAGCUGAGGAAGUAUGUUUAAGUGUAUAUGCCAUGGAGGGAUUUAAUUCUUCCAAACUCUUAAUUUUUGAUGGACUCUGAGAGGUUAGUGAAUGAUCCUUUAACUUCAUUAGCCUUGCACUUUGAACACUGGAUAAAGGUGUUUUAUUUAUUGCUUAAAUUGAAACCAUUUUUAUCUUAAGAUACUGGCAUAUUUUCCUCUGUGAAAGUAAUAAACUUUUCAUUAUGACUACCUA